AUUACAAGUAAACUCACAUUGUACAAGUGUUAAGCUUCAGCCGUUCGGCAUCCUAUGUAACGAAGACUAUUUGACAUGAAUUCAAUAAAGAGGUGAUUUAGACAACUCGGUCCUAAUCCUCUUACAUUCCUUGCAAUGAAACACUCGGGUUCAAAGCUUCAACAUGAAUGCUUCCAACAUGAAACAAAGUCUAUGUCAACAAGACUAUACAAAUAAACAAACAGCUUCACAGUAUAUUCGUUCAAUCAUACAUUCCAACACAUUCAUACAUAAGCCAACUAUGUU
rnacentral:lncRNA from 1 species